rnacentral:rRNA from 1 species
AACGCUAGCUACAGGCUUAACACAUGCAAGUCGAACGGUAACAGGUGUAGCAAUACAUGCUGACGAGUGGCGCACGGGUGCGUAACGCGUAUGCAACUUACCUCUAACUGGAAGAUACCCUUCCGAAAGGAAGAAUAAUACUCCAUUAUAUUUCGAUGUGGCAUCACAUUGUUCUUAAAGCUUCGGCGGUUAGAGAUAGGCAUGCGUCUGAUUAGCUUGUUGGUGAGGUAAUGGCUCACCAAGGCAACGAUCAGUAGGGGGCCUGAGAGGGUUAUCCCCCACACUGGUACUGAGACACGGACCAGACUCCUACGGGAGGCAGCAGUGAGGAAUAUUGGUCAAUGGACGCAAGUCUGAACCAGCCAAGUAGCGU